rnacentral:rRNA from 1 species
UUGUCCUUAGUUACCAGCACGUUAUGGUGGGCACUCUAAGGAGGACUGCCGGUGACAACCGGAGGAAGGUGGGGAUGACGUCAAGUCAUCAUGGCCCUUACGGCCUGGGCUACACACGUGCUACAAUGGUCGGUACAAAGGGUUGCCAAGCCGCGAGGUGGAGCUAAUCCAUAAAACCGAUCGUAGUCCGGAUCGCAGUCUGCAACUCGACUGCGUGAAGUCGGAAUCGCUAGUAAUCGUGAAUCAGAAUGUCACGGUGAAUACGUUCCCGGGCCUU